CCCACGCGCGCGGCUCCAGGGGGGGGGGGGUGGCGCGCGGAGGAGCAGAGGGUCGCAUUUCCAAGCUCGGGGGAUCCUCAUUGCGGACCGGUUUUCUUUGUCUCCCCCUCUGUCUCUAAGGAUGCUCAGGACCCGGUCGUUAGCGGCAGCCAGAAGAGCGGGCUCGGGGUCAAGGUUGACACGGAGGCUAAAAGCCAGCCAGAGAAAGAAAAGCAGAACACGCAGAGAGAGCAUCCCAGAGGCUAUUCUUGAAUGAUCCACUCCGUAAUUCUUGUACUUCAUCGCACAAUAUCUCAAGUUGAAAAUUAUUUUCUUUGCCGGCGUGACGGAAACCCAAGUGUCUACCGUGAUGCAGCCACUACGGAAAACAGUAUGGUCGUGUCUCAAAACGUUAAAAAUAGGAUUACCAGAGGACCCAGCAGUCCCACUUCUGGGUAUAUACUCAAAAGAAGCGAAAGAGGCUCAUGAAGAGAUAUCUGUACAUGGAUGAACCUGGAGGACGUGCUAAGUGAAAUAAGCCAGUUACGAGAAGACAAACACUGCGUGAUUCUACCUAAAUGAAGCUUGAUUACUCCAAGCUUUAAAAGAAACUGAGGAUUACAAGUUUGCAGGAUAUCAGCUUGGAUGGAGCACUGUUCACGAACACAAAAUCAUGAAGGUACGCUGCUCCUUCAGAA